AGAAUGAUUUUUUCUCAGCAGUUGAAUAGUACAUGGUUAGCGACCUGCUUGGUUUCUGUGUUUUGUUAUUACUGACCAAAGCAUCUUCUGAUUAUGAUGCUUAGACACUCUCAAAUAGAUAACCUGACCACAAGAUGUGAAGAAAAGAAACUUCUAGGUCAGGUAUGGUGUCUCAUUAACCUGAAAUCUCAGCACUUUGGGAGGUGAAGGUGGGAGGAUGGCUUGAAGCCAGGAGUUUGAGACCAGCCUGGGCAACAUAGCAAGACCCCAUCUAUACAAAAAUUAAAAUAAAAAAAUUAUUUCGGUGUAGUGGCACCUGCCUGUAGUCACAGCUACUUGGGAGGCUGAGACAGGAGGAUUGCUUAAUCCCAGGAGUUCAAGGCUGCAGUGAGCUAUGAUCAUGCCACUGCACUUCAGCCUGGACAACAGAAGAAGACCCUGUCUCUAAAAAGAAAAAUAAAAACUUCCAUAUUGCAAGACAAUGGAAAAGUUUCCUCAUAUUACAACCAAAUAAGUUAUCUACUUAAAAGACUUAUGACUUACUUUGGCACUUAUUUUAAAAUGUGAUGUCAUCAAGUUGGAUUUCUUAAGCUUAUAGACCAAGAGAUUUCUAUUUUACCAUAAAAGCCCAGAAUAAUAAUGUUGGAAGAUACUUUUUUAACCUCUGAUUCCUAUUCUCCUCAUCAAUAUGAAGAAAUUCAACCAGAUUAGGUGACUUGUCCAAAGUCAUAUAUCUGCUUAAAAGCAGAGUCAGAAUUAACUCUGGAUUUUUAGAUUUUCUUUUCAUCUACAUUGUCUGGUCUGC
rnacentral:lncRNA from 1 species